UUUUUUUUUUUUUUUUUUUUUUUUUUUUCUUCUA
rnacentral:ribozyme from 1 species